GGCGAAAUGGCCGAGCGGUCUAAGGCGCUAGAAUCAGGCUUGUCCAAAUCUAGUCCGUAUCCCGGGCGUGGGUUCGAAUCCCACUUUCGUCA